rnacentral:rRNA from 1 species
AUAAAUGCUGGCGGCGUGCUUUAGGCAUGCAAGUCGAGCGGAGUAAAUCGAAAGAUUUAUUCAGCGGCGGACGGGUGAGUAAUAGUAAGGAACGUACCCUCUUCUGGGGCAUAACUAGCCGAAAGGUUGGCUAAUUCCCCAUGGUGCAAACAGACGUAAGUUUGUUUGCUAAAGGAUUCGUCCGGAAGAAGAGCGGCCUUAUUCCUAUCAGCUAGUUGGUGGGGUAAAAGCCUACCAAGGCUAUGACGGGUAGCUGGAGCGAGAGCUUGUACAGCCACAAGGGCACUGAGACACGGGCCCUACACCUACGGGUGGCAGCAACCGGGAAUUGUUCGCAAUGGACGAAAGUCUGACGACGCGACGCCGCGUGGAGGAUGAAGGCCUUAGGGUCGUAAACUCCUUUUGCACAGAAAGAAGUUCCGAUUUAUCGGAAUUGACGGUACUGUGAGAAUAAGCACCUGCAAACUACGU